rnacentral:rRNA from 1 species
AAAGGAAUUGACGGGGGCCCGCACAAGCAGAGGAGCAUGUGGCUUAAUUCGAUGCAACGCGAAGAACCUUACCCGGGUUUGACAUAUAACUGCAACUCCCUGGAAACAGGGAUUCCUUCGAGGGUGUUAUACAGGUGCUGCAUGGCUGUCGUCAGUUCGUGCCGUGAGGUGUUUGGUUAAGUCCAGCAACGAACGCAACCCCUAUGUUUAGUUGCCAGCGGGUAAUGCCGGGAACUCUAAACAGACUGCCCGUUCACACGGGAGGAAGGUGGGGACGACGUCAAGUCAGUAUGGCCCUUACAUCCGGGGCUGCACACGUGCUACAAUGGCCGGUACAAUAGGAAGCUAAGCCGCAAGGUGGAGCCAAUCCCCAAAACCGGCCUCAGUUCGGAUUGCGGUCUGCAACUCGACCGCAUGAAGUUGGAUUUGCUAGUAACGGCGUAUCAGCUACGACGCCGUGAAUACGUUCCCGGGCCUUGUACACACCGCCCGU